CGCAUGAACAGUGUGCGCGUUACUGUAGCGACGAGGACAGCGAAAGCGAGCAGGCGGCGCAGCGAAGCGAACAGCGAGAGAAAAAGGGAAGCGAGCGGGCAGCGCGAGAGAAAAGGCCCCCGCAACCGCCUCCUCUCCUGUCGCCGCCGCCGCCGCCGCCGCCUCGUCCUCGUCCUCGUCUCCUUUCUUGCCCUCAGCGCCGCCUCCUCUCCUUCCUCUCUCUCCCUCUGCGCCACCUCUUCUCCUCCUCUUCAUGCGUGGCGGCGUCUCGUCAUCCCCAGCCCUCGCCCAUCCCCAGCCUCCCCAAUCCCCUCCUCCCGCAUGAACCCUAGCAGAGAGAGAAGAUGAGAGGGAGAGAGAGAAGAUGAGAGGGAGAGAGAGAAGGAAGGAGAGGAGAGGAGGGAGAAAGAGAGAGGAAAGAGGAGAGGGAGGUGUGGCGGCUGACGGGAGAGGGUCAUCGGCCGGCGUCGGCCUGCGUCGACGAGAUCUGCUCUGCUUGUUUUGGUUCCUUUUGAUUGAUGCAUUAUUUUUGUCUAUUUCUGUGUACCCAGGUGACUAUGCAAGUUGCAUUGACAGAAUCCAUGUACUAAACUGGGGCAUUUUUGGCAGCUGCAGCAACCUGACAAUUAAUUCGUUCUCGUCCAAGGUAAUUUACUUCCCCCCUUUAUGUAUCAUGGAUGGAUAUAUGUGAUGGUUGGUUGUCAUUACUGAAGCAAGAAUUGUUGAUGAUGACUACCUUUCGAGUAGGUUUACCGCUCGUCUUGCUAAUGUUAAUUUGUAUGUUUUCAUUUGUUUUUUCUUCUCCAUUUUGUUGUAUAAUCUAUGGACGUUGUCCAGAAAGUAUUUUGCAACUUCAGAAAUCCAAAAUUAUGGUUAUGAUGUUAAUGACCAGGAUGAUGUGAUAGCCUCUUUUGAUCCGUAUCUUUUUUUUCGAAGCUUGAAAGAUAUACUUGCAGUAUGGUCUGUGGAUCUCCUUUGCUUUGUGAUACUGAACCCAUUUUGGAACAAUAUGGCAUCAAAGCAUUUGUUUUUUGUCCAGCCAAUAAUGUAAUGGUCUAUGGGCAAAUAAAUCAUGGUUUAAAUCAGGCUCUUUAUUUCUCUUUUGAUUGAUUUAAGGUAUUCACAUAUAUAAUGGUUCCCAAUACCCAUAGAAUUAUUGGUUUUAAUUGGCUUCUUGGCUUCUUGCGUCCGCGGGUCAUCUAGCGCUGCCGACAUCGUUUUCUAUCAGGCUCACUUCCUAUCUUAUAUUGAUUGUUGUACUGCACUACCUCAGUUUUAAAGAUCAGCAUCCUAAAUUCCUAAUCGAACCAGAAAAGCACAGGUGAGUACCAGCUAGCCUCUCUAUACUAAUUGUCUACACAUUGGUUUCUCCUGCUCUCUGCUCUUUACUAUGCUAAUAUUUCAUUCGAUCUAAGUAAUUAGGCCCCAGAGCAUAUAUUCUUCACCAAAAAUAAAAACUGUGUAGUAAACUCACUUAGAUAGUUCCCAGAUUUUACAUACUUCCUAUUUUUGUCAUGCACACAAGAUGUUUAAUGAUGUGUCUACAAACAAAAAAACAGAUAUUUCAUGUCUUUGCUUUGGCCUGCUGAAUACCUUCCUUGCAAUACCUUUGCUAUGCACCUAUAUGAAUUUACUUUACCCUUACAAUGACCAAGACAGCAGAUAUUAUCAUAUUAAACAAGCCAAUACAGAGACAAUCCUUUGCUUUUCUUGCUUAGUUUUACCUAAUUAUCAGCAGAUCAAUAGGCUAUAUAGAACCUCCAACCUGUUCACUCUGAAUCCUACUGAAGACCAUCCUAUGGAGAAACAGGAGUACUGGCCCUUCGAACUACCUACAAGACCCCGAGGUGCAACCGGCCAUGGCAAGGCAGGAGAUGUCGAGAGGAAUUUCCCUCCUGGAUAUUGCAGACCAUCUCUCUCUCUCUCUCUCUCUCUCUCUCUCUUACACACAGACAAUCACGGUUGUUCCUGUAUUAUCCUUGUAUAUGCAAACUACUUUUUGUUUCUUAUACACAACGACCUAUGUUCUAUGUUGGGUACAUAUUUUUGCACUUCUUUUGAAAUUAUUAUGGUGCAUAUGUGAUAUACCUAGCUUGUAUUAAUUUCCAGGGUAUAUUCCAGUCAUAAUGGAGAUGCUUGUGAUAAGUUUGGUAUCUUCCUCUGCUACAUCUUUUGGUGUUAUGGGCCGUUCCUAGAUCUCUAUAUUUUGCAAGAGGCCAUGUUAUUUUGGUAUGUACAAGCUAUUUAAGAGGGCCAAGAAGGCGGAAUAACCUCGCUUAUACAGUUUCUGACUGCUAACAGUGCCAUCAUCAAUGAGCUUCACUCUAAAGUUUGUUCAUGAGAGGGUUGGGCUUCCUUCAAUGCUAGGGCUGAAAUUGGAGAAUAAACAAGGGGUUGACAUGCCUGUGAAGUUCUAUUAGGACAGCGUCUCUCCGCGUUCUCGAUCCGGCGCCGCCACAUAUCGUGAUUCUGGAUCGGGCGCAGGUCGUCGCCAUAAGAGAGCCUGGCUGGUGUGGUCUUCACGCUUGGUGUGGAGAAGCACGGGAGGAUGAGUAGGACGGGCAUGGGGAAGGAGCAGCCAGGCCGGAGCUCCGGCGUUCCUCGUGUCAUGGUCGAAUGGAGCCGGCCAUCACUAUGGGCUUCUGCUCGCCGGUCGUCGUUCCCCAAUCUCAGUUGCUCAUCUUUGGCUUCACCAUCUUCCUCCCCUGAUCAUGCAUCUAUUUUAAAUCAUAUAAUUAUGCUAUAUCAUAUAUGUUGUUUAGUUCACACUUGUGCAUGCGCAUGCAUUGGCAUUGAUUUAGACAGAGAUAUUGCAUGAUUUGUACAUAGAAGGAGUACGGAUGAUCUAGGAAUAAAUGUUUGAAUAAAGUUAGUAGUGAGAUUUAGGUAGAGGUUACCUGCAAUGUUCUGUUUUAUGUAGAUUCUAAGAUGCAAAAUCAUACAUGGUCCUGUUAGUAAUUUGUUUGAGUUGUGAGUUUAAGCAU